rnacentral:rRNA from 1 species
UACGAAGGGGGCUAGCGUUGCUCGGAAUCACUGGGCGUAAAGCGCACGUAGGCGGCUUUUUAAGUCAGGGGUGAAAUCCUGGAGCUCAACGUCCAGAACUGCCUUUGAUACUGAGAGCUUGAGUCCGGGAGAGGUGAGUGGAACUGCGAGUGUAGAGGUGAAAUUCGUAGAUAUUCGCAAGAACACCAGUGGCGAAGGCGGCUCACUGGCCCGGUACUGACGCUGAGGUGCGAAAGCGUGGGGAGCAAACAGG